AUUUAUAGAAGAUCCUUUUCCUGUAUAUCUUUGAACUGAAGACAUCAAAUUUUCAGAUAGUCGGAAAAAAAUCUUAAAAUUUUCCAAGUCAUCAAAGUAUAAUUUUAUACUUUUUCUUAAAAUUUUUCAUCGAAAAACUAGAAUUUAUACUCCAUCAGGAAAAGGUUUCUGCCACGAUUUUCUCCAAUUUUACUUGGCACCUUAAAUUUAUUGGACUCAACCCACUUAAUCCAACUCAAUCAGUGAAUUGGAUUAAUCUUGCUUUGGAAUCCCUUUAUAGUAAAUGAAAUUUACAAAGUUACCAGUAACAAUCACUCAUUUUUGCAUUCCGAACACAAUUCCCAUACCUGGCGAGGGAAUCCUCUUCCAGGGGAUUUCUUAAAUGAGUCACCAGAACGAUCUCUAGCCGGAGAUUGCGCAAUGCUAGUGUUCUCUUUUCAUUUAACUCCAACAUAAACUCAUCAGGCAGCUCUAAAAUCCUCUUGAAACAACAACAACAAUAUUAAUAAAACCACCACCAAAAAUCAUCAAACUCCGCAAAUUCUCAAAAACUCAAAAUAAAUAGUUCUCUUGCAAAAAUAAUAAAUCCCUAACAGUUCAAUCAAACCAAAAGUUAAAGAAAAGUGCAAAACAAAAUCAAGAAGAAUUAAACAAAACAGUGGUUCCGAAACAUGUAAAAGAGCAUAAAACCCAGUGAUUCCC